UUUGUGUUGUGAGUUUUAGACAACACUAGAGAAGUGGUAGACUCCACCUUCCGUGAAGUUACACUUGUUGGCACUGUUUUGUUCGUUAGUUACAUGUUUGACAUGCGCUUAAAAUGUUGGAGAAACAUGAACAACAAAACAAGUUUAAUCCAGGACAGUUGUGUUCAUGGCCAGUCAAUCCUGGUUGGAGUCUUCUCUGCGCCGGUCAUCUGAACUCGGCCAGGAGGUGCUUGAGAAAGCAAAGAGAAGGUCUGUUAGCAGCUCACGUACGAAACCAAGACCAACACUCGGGGUCAGUCACAAGGAAAUGCACUCAGAGGAAAACAUCUGCCAUUCAAACCUGAACCAUGCUUUUGCAACAAUAGUGGAGUACAUGUCAGAAACUACCAGACAAUGCAAGAAAUUUUAUACAUCUGUGCACCGGACUCAGUCCAGUGAGCGAGAGCACAUCUGUCGUUAUCAUUCCCAGCAGACCUUGAAGACUGCAGACCAGAAACACAAUGCUACUGCAGCCACUAAACAAGAUGCUGGUUUGUCAGAAGCAGAGGAUUUCCUGAUUGAAGUGUCUCCGGGAACCUAUUCUGUCACAGCAGCAAUGCAGGACACAAAACCACAGACCAAAACUGUCCACAUCAGCGCAGGAGAGAGCAUGAGCCUUACAUUCAACCUCUGAACUGCACCUCUAUUUUCUAUGGCCUUCACUGAGAACUUGCACAAACAUUUUAAACGCACUGAUUCUGACUUUCGGUGCUGCAGAAGACCUCAGUGGUCACGUCCAUCGACUGCGUUUAUCGAAAAACAAUGGAACUAUAAGAUCCUCUCUCAUCCCAUGCUCAUGCACAUCCAGAUGUGUGCAGCCCUACUACAUUGUAAUCAUUUCUCCAUUACCUGGCUUCAUGUGAUGUGGUUCUGCAGAACCUCUUUUCCAGUAUCUCCAGGCUGGUCUGGCCUCAGGUUGAGCAUAUGGCUUUCUCAGGCAAGAAAUCUCUGUGUUUAUUGAGCGGCUCACUAGUUCUGACUCCGAAGACUGUUGCUUUUCAUUUGCCAUAU